rnacentral:rRNA from 1 species
AUACGGAGGGGGCAAGCGUUGUUCGGAAUUACUGGGCGUAAAGGGCGCGCAGGCGGUUUUGUUAGUCAGGCGUGAAAUCCCCGGGCUUAACCUGGGAAUUGCGUUUGAUACUGCAAAACUAGGGUUCGGGAGAGGGUAGUGGAAUUCCCAGUGUAGAGGUGAAAUUCGUAGAUAUUGGGAAGAACACCAGUGGCGAAGGCGGCUACCUGGACCGAUACUGACGCUGAGGCGCGAAAGCGUGGGGAGCAAACAGGAUUAGAUACCCUAGUAGUCC